rnacentral:rRNA from 1 species
GACGAACGCUAGCGGCAGGCUUAAUACAUGCAAGUCGAGGGGCAGCAUGAUUGUAGCAAUACAAUUGAUGGCGACCGGCAAACGGGUGCGGAACACGUACACAACCUUCCAACAAGUGGGGGAUAGCCCAGAGAAAUUUGGAUUAAUACCCCGUAACAUAGCGAUGUGGCAUCACAUUGCUAUUAUAGAUUUUCGCUUGUUGAUGGGUGUGCGGCUGAUUAGAUAGUUGGCGGGGUAACGGCCCACCAAGUCUACGAUCAGUAGCUGAUGUGAGAGCAUGAUCAGCCACACGGGCAAUGAGACACGGGCCCGACUCCUACGGGAGGCAGCAGUAAGGAAUAUUGGACAAAGGACGCAAGUCUGAUCCAGCCAUGCCGCGUGAAGGAUUAAGGUCCUCUGGAUUGUAAACUUCUUUUAUAAGGGACGAAAAAAGGCUUUUCUAAGUCGUCUGACGGUACCUUAUGAAUAAGCACCGGCUAACUCCGUGCCAGCCGCCGCGGUAA